rnacentral:rRNA from 1 species
CUUUAUUGGAGAGUUUGAUCCUGGCUCAGGAUGAACGCUGGCGGCGUGCCUAAUACAUGCAAGUCGAGCGAAUGGAUUAAGAGCUUGCUCUUAUGAAGUUAGCGGCGGACGGGUGAGUAACACGUGGGUAACCUGCCCAUAAGACUGGGAUAACUCCGGGAA